GAUCAUGGCUCAGAACGAACGCUGGCGGCAGGCCUAACACAUGCAAGUCGAGCGAGGACUUCGGUCCUAGCGGCGGACGGGUGAGUAACGCGUGGGAACGUGCCCUUUGGUACGGAAUAGCCCCGGGAAACUGGGAGUAAUACCGUAUGGUGUCUUCGGACUAAAGAUUUAUCGCCAAAGGAUCGGCCCGCGUUGGAUUAGGUAGUUGGUGGGGUAAUGGCCUACCAAGCCGACGAUCCAUAGCUGGUUUGAGAGGAUGAUCAGCCACACUGGGACUGAGACACGGCCCAGACUCCUACGGGAGGCAGCAGUGGGGAAUCUUAGACAAUGGGGGCAACCCUGAUCUAGCCAUGCCGCGUGAGUGAUGAAGGCCCUAGGGUUGUAAAGCUCUUUCAGCUGGGAAGAUAAUGACGGUACCAGCAGAAGAAGCCCCGGCUAACUCCGUG
rnacentral:rRNA from 1 species